rnacentral:rRNA from 1 species
UCAAUACAUCAACAUACGUCGAUGUAUCGAUCUUCCUUCAUUCUUCCUGAAAUUGGGUGAGACUACCCGCUGAAUUUAAGCAUAUAAUUAAGCGGUGGAAAAGAAAAUAACUAUGAUUCU